GUGUCAAUUGAAAGGAGAUACGCUUAGCAAUCCCCUCGACGAAGAUGGAACCCCAAAAAUUCUUAAGGCAACUUGACUACAGUUUUGC